AGUCGAGGGGCAGCAUGAACUUAGCUUGCUAAGUUUGAUGGCGACCGGCGCACGUUGUGAGUAACACGAUAUCCAACCUGCCGAUGACUCGGGGAUAGCCUUUCGAAAGAAAGAUUAAUACCCGAUGGCAUAGUUCUUCCGCAUGGCAGAACUAUUAAAGAAUUUCGGUCAUCGAUGGGGAUGCGUUCCAUUAGGUUGUUGGCGGGGUAACGGCCCACCAAGCCUUCGAUGGAUAGGGGUUCUGAGAGGAAGGUCCCCCACAUUGGAACUGAGACACGGUCCAAACUCAUACGGGAGGCAGCAGUGAGGAAUAUUGGUCAAUGGACGAGAGUCUGAACCAGCCAAGUAGCGUGAAGGAUGACUGCCCUAUGGGUUGUAAACUUCUUUUAUACGGGAAUAAAGUGAGGCACGUGUGCCUUUUUGUAUGUACCGUAUGAAUAAGGAUCGGCUAACUCCGUGCCAGCAGCCGCGGUAAUACGGAGGAUCCGAGCGUUAUCCGGAUUUAUUGGGUUUAAAGGGAGCGUAGGCGGACGCUUAAGUCAGUUGUGAAAGUUUGCGGCUCAACCGUAAAAUUGCAGUUGAUACUGGGUGUCUUGAGUACAGUAGAGGCAGGCGGAAUUCGUGGUGUAGCGGUGAAAUGCUUAGAUAUCACGAAGAACUCCGAUUGCGAAGGCAGCUUGCUGGACUGUAACUGACGCUGAUGCUCGAAAGUGUGGGUAUCAAACAGGAUUAGAUACCCUGGUAGUCCACACAGUAAACGAUGAAUACUCGCUGUUUGCGAUAUACAGUAAGCGGCCAAGCGAAAGCGUUAAGUAUUCCACCUGGGGAGUACGCCGGCAACGGUGAAACUCAAAGGAAUUGACGGGGGCCCGCACAAGCGGAAGGAACAUGUGGUUUAAUUCGAUGAUACGCGAGGAACCUUACCCGGGCUUGAAUUGCAACUGAAUGAUGUGGAAACAUGUCACCCGCCAAGGCAGUUGUGAAGGUGCUGCAUGGUUUGUCGUCAACUCGUGCCGUGAGGUGUCGGCUUAAGUGCCAUAACGAGCCCAACCCUUAUCGAUAGUUACCAUCAGGUUAUGCUGGGGACUCUGUCGAGACUGCCGUCGUAAGAUGUGAGGAAGGUGGGGAUGACGUCAAAUCAGCACGGCCCUUACGUCCGGGGCUACACACGUGUUACAAUGGGGGGUACAGAAGGCAGCUACACGGCGACGUGAUGCUAAUCCCUAAAGCCUCUCUCAGUUCGGAUUGGAGUCUGCAACCCGACUCCAUGAAGCUGGAUUCGCUAGUAAUCGCGCAUCAGCCACGGCGCGGUGAAUACGUUCCCGGGCCUUGUACNCAAAAACCGUCAAGCCAUGAAAGCCGGGGGUACCUGAAGUGCGUACCGCAAGGAG
rnacentral:rRNA from 1 species